GACGAACGCUGGCGGCGUGCUUAACACAUGCAAGUCGAACGGAAAGGCCCUGCUUUCGUGGGGUGCUCGAGUGGCGAACGGGUGAGUAACACGUGAGUAACCUGCCCUUGACUUUGGGAUAACUUCAGGAAACUGGGGCUAAUACCGGAUAGGAGCUCCUGCUGCAUGGUGGGGGUUGGAAAGUUUCGGCGGUUGGGGAUGGACUCGCGGCUUAUCAGCUUGUUGGUGGGGUAGUGGCUUACCAAGGCUUUGACGGGUAGCCGGCCUGAGAGGGUGACCGGCCACAUUGGGCCUGAGAUGCGGCCCAGACUCCUACGGGAGGCAGCAGUGGGGAAUAUUGCACAAUGGGCGGAAGCCUGAUGCAGCAACGCCGCGUGCGGGAUGACGGCCUUCGGGUUUUAAACCGCUUUCGCCUGUGACGAAGCGUGAGUGACGGUAAUGGGUAAAGAAGCACCGGCUAACUACGUG
rnacentral:rRNA from 1 species